AGAAUCAACGCUGGCGGCGUGCCUAACACAUGCAAGUCGCACGAGAAAGGGACUUCGGUCCUGAGUACAGUGGCGCACGGGUGAGUAACACGUGAAUAAUCUACCUCCGAGUGGGGAAUAACUGAGAGAAAUCUUAGCUAAUACCGCAUAACACUUACGAGUCAAAGCAGCAAUGCGCUUGGAGAGGAGUUCGCGGCAGAUUAGUUAGUUGGCGGGGUAAUGGCCCACCAAGACGAUGAUCUGUAUCCGGCCUGAGAGGGCGCACGGACACACUGGAACUGAAACACGGUCCAGACUCCUACGGGAGGCAGCAGUGGGGAAUUUUGCGCAAUGGGGGAAACCCUGACGCAGCAACGCCGCGUGGAGGAUGAAAUCCCUUGGGAUGGUAAACUCCUUUCGAUAGGGAAGAUAAUGACGGUACCUAUAGAAGAAGCCCGGCUAACUUCGUGCCAGCAGCCGC
rnacentral:rRNA from 1 species